rnacentral:rRNA from 1 species
CAGCACCUCAAGUGGUCAGGAUGAUUAUUGGGCCUAAAGCAUCCGUAGCCGGCUCUGUAAGUUUUCGGUUAAAUCUGUAUGCUCAACAUACAGGCUGCCGGGAAUACUGCAGAGCUAGGGAGUGGGAGAGGUAGACGGUACUCGGUAGGAAGGGGUAAAAUCCUUUGAUCUAUUGAUGACCACCUGUGGCGAAGGCGGUCUACCAGAACACGUCCGACGGUGAGGGAUGAAAGCUGGGGGAGCAAACCGGAUUAGAGACCCGUGUAGUCC